rnacentral:misc_RNA from 1 species
GUGAGUCAUCGAAUCUUUGAACGCACAUUGCGCCCGCUAGUAUUCUGGCGGGCAUGCCUGUCCGAGCGUCAUUUCAACCCCUCAAGCCCUGCUUGGUGCUGGGGCCCUACGUGCGCCGUAGGCCCCGAAUUACAGUGGCGGGCUCGCCGCGAUCCCGAGCGUAGUAGUACACCUCGCUCUGGGGCUCCGCGGCGGGUGCCGGCCGUGAAAACGACCAAGAAAAACAAGGUUGACCUCGGAUCAGGUAGGAAUACCCGCUGAACUUAAGCAUAUCAAUAAGCGGAGGA